UAGGGAAUAUUGCGCAAUGGGGGAAACCCUGACGCAGCAACGCCGCGUGAGUGAGGAAGGUCUUAGGAUUGUAAAACUCUGUUCUUGGGGAAAAAUGAUCUUGUGGCUAAUAUCCAUAAGAAGUGAUGGUACCCAAGUAGAAAGCACCGGCUAACUUCGUGCCAGCAGCCGCGGUAAUACGAAGGGUGCAAGCGUUGUUCGGAAUCAUUGGGCGUAAAGCGCGCGCAGGCGGAUUGAUAAGUCAGAUGUGAAAUCUCGAGGCUCAACCUCGAAACUGCGUCUGAAACUAUUAGUCUAGAAUGUCGGAGGGGGAAGGGGAAUUUCACGUGUAGGGGUAAAAUCCGUAGAGAUGUGAAGGAACACCGGGGGCGAAGGCGCCUUCCUGGACGACUAUUGACGCUGAGGCGCGAAAGCGUGGGGAGCAAACAG
rnacentral:rRNA from 1 species